UAGCUCAACCGGUAGGGCAUGGCAUUAACACUGCCAGGGGUUAGGGGUUCAAUUCCCUGU
rnacentral:tRNA from 1 species